ACUUUUUAGGGCUGCCCCUGAGGCAUGUGGAAGUUCCCAGGCUAGGGGUCCAAUGGGAGUUACAGCUGCCAGCCUGCACCACAGCCACAGUAAUGCCAGACCUGAGCCACAUCAAUGACCUACACUACAGCUCACGGCAACACCAGAUGGUUUAACCCACUGAGCAAGGCCAGGGAUCCAACCCACAUCCUCAUGGAUGCUAGUCUGGUUCAUUACCACUGAGCCACAAUGGGAACUCCCUCCCCAAACUCUCUUGAUUAAACUUUUAAGUGCCAUUAGGGAGAGAAACCUGGGCUGCUAUAGGCCUCCUUUCGGACCUUCAUUCUAGGGGAUCAUGGUGGUGGCAGUGGUGGCCUUGGUCCUGCCUUCUAAGAAACAGCACUCAGGCUUAGAGCCAGGUGGGCCUGGGUUGAAUCCCAGCUCUCCCACCCAUUUGCUGUGCAUCCUUAAGCAAGUUACUUACCCUCUCUGGACUUGUUUCUUCAUCUGCAAAGAGGAGAAGAUGCAAAUAGGAACAUGAAGUGAGAGAAUGUGUGCAGAGACCUUGGGGAGUGGUGAGUGCUCAGCCCACCUUGCUCUCCUUCUUUCCCUGGCUACUACCUCUUAAAGGUCUAUGGUUCCUGAAGGCCCUGGAAGUGACCCCCUCCCACCCAAGCAGAUCGGUCCCCUGGUUGUGGGUAAGGCCAGGCAGAGCCACCCCUCCCGACAGGGCAGAAGCUGGCUGGCGGUGUCUGAGAGGAGCCUGCAAGCAGCCCACUUACCCGGAUUAGUUCCUAGCUGGGUAACUAUUUACACAGGCUGCCAGGCCAGUGGUACAUCAUAAUUAUAUAUUAUAUGUAUUAAUACCUCACCUUUCGCCGGCACUGCAUCUGGGCCCGUCAAAACACAUACCAACAUUAAUCAAUUAAGCUCCCAGCUUCCCCGACCUACUGCAAUUAUUAGCUUCCUUUCCUCACCCUGGAGGCGGCUGGGAGCGGAGCUCGCCCAAGGUCACUGCCCAGGCCUCGGGGGAAGCUCGGUCUGGGCCUUCCAUACUGACAGAGGGACACUGGCUUGCCCUCCUCCAGCCCGUCCUUGCCUCAUGCAAGGUGCUCCAUGGCCUCCUCACCAGCCCCUGAGCCCGGGUCAGUCUUUCUUGGUUUCAGGGUUUCCAGGUUGUUCUCUGGGCCCUUCUGACUUGUUUGGAGAGGGACUGUCCCUCUGUCAGGCACCCAGCACAUUGGAAACCCUGGACCCCACAUGCCAUGGGCCCUUCUCAUUUGGGGAAUCUGUUGACUUGCCCUUGGAGGGGACUGAGCUGGCCUGGGUCAAGCCCCCUUUAUCUGCUCCAUAGCUGUGUUUGAUGAAUCCUUAACAAGUGCCAAGUACAUACAGAUGCUGUCUUCUUAGUCCCAUAGCGACUCUACAGAGCAGAUAUUAGUAUCUCCAUUUUGCAGAUGAAGGAAGAGAGGCCCAGAGAGGCUAAUGGCUCAUCCAAGGGCGCAAGGCCCCAAAGUGGCAGAGCCCAGAUUGAGACCCAGACCACUCCUCAGACAACUUGCACACCUGAGUGAGGGUCUCUCUGUGCCACCUCCUGUGCUGGGUGCUGGGGUCAGGGUCACAGUGCUGGGAGCCAUGCAGAUGACAAAGGUUGGGGAUGAAAUCCAGGCUCGCGCAAAGUAUCAUGGGACCCAGGGAGAGGGGAGGUGGGGGUGGGGGAGGCAGAGCAGUGGCUUCUGGGCUAGAACUUGAAGGACAUAACAUGGGGUGCAGGUUCUAUCAAAAGCCCCUGUGAGGAGAGCCCAGGCAGGGAGGUGAAUGCAGAUGGUAUCAGGCAGGAAAUAGGAGAAAAUCAGUCCAGGUGAAGGCAAUAGGGGGUGGUGGGGACUGGGGUGAAAUGGGGAACAUGUGCCCUGCCUAAAGGCACGAACAUGAAUUAACACAAUACAGACAGGGGAUAAGAACAUUGACCUGGAAGGCCCUGGACCCAGGAAUUGAUGGGUGCCUGCAAUUAACUUGCUGUGCGACAGUGGAAGGUGCUCCCCUGCUCUGGGCCUCAGUGUGUGUCCUCUGUUAAAUGACCACAUGGCCUUGAUACUGCAGCAGGGCUCCCAACCUAUCAGCAGCCAAGGGAAUGAGACCAGGCCCUGGUGGUUCUGGGUAAAUGGUGAUGGAUUACGCAGAUGCUGAGUAGGGGAGCAGAAGCAGCAGACUACCUGGAACUCAAGUCCUGGUCCCUCCCGCUUCACCAGCCACCAGCCCCUGGCCAUUCCCAGCUGUCUCACCUUAGAAGAUUGCUUCACCUCCCUGAGCCUCGGCGACCUCAUCUGUGCAUAGGGACCCCAACAUGGAAUCCACAAGGUGAUGUGGUUUACAGGAGGAAAUGCCCAGUGGGCACCAGGCUCAGAGAAAAACCCUGCUCCCCACCCCACCCGAGCCCCAUAGCUGCUGCAGCCUCACUGGUUACUGUACCUCGUUCUCGCCUCCCUGUUGCUGAGCCAGAGCGCCAGGGCUUGGCUGCACAGGGGUGGUGUGUCCCGCCCCAGGCUGGGGCCUUUUGAUUCCCGGGACUGGAUUCCUGAGCUGCUCUGAGCCCUACCCCAGCCCUGGGCUGAGCCUCCUCUGCUGAGUGGAGGCGAGGAUGUUGGUGUAAGCCUUCCGAAGCCCAUUACAGCUGUCUGCGGACGGUAAUGAGACGGACAGCUCGAGAGGGUGAAACCAUCCAUAACUGUUCCACGGUUUAUGCUGCAGCUGAAGCAACACCCGGGCACAUCUCCAUCACUCUCCCAUCUCAUCAGCCACCUGCUCUAAGCCAGCAGAGCACAAACCUCAACUCACCCUUCUCCCUUUGGUGCCACAGAGCCCCAUGACUGACUGCUGCUGCUGCUGGAUGGGACCUCACAUCUGGAGCCCCCAAACCUGGGGACGUCACCUCUGUUGGCUGGCACACAGAGCAAAGAAUAAAUGUCAGCCCCCAUGCUACUGCCUCAUAGCUACAGAGCAGGAACGUGCUGGGCUCUUUAACUGUAUGAUCUCUUUUAAUCCUCAUCUUAGCCCCCAAAGAUAGCUUUUCAUACCCCUGUUCCAAAGAAACAGGUUCAGAGAGGCUGAGACAGCUGUAUAAGAUCACACAGCUAUUAACUAGCUGAGCAGAGCACGGGGCCCCAGUCCAGGAAGCAGAACUUGGGAGCUGUCCUUGGUGAGCUUGAAGGGGAUGCAUGUGCAGGGNNNNNNNNNNNNNNNNNNNNNNNNNNNNNNNNNNNNNNNNNNNNNCUACACAGACAGAAGCCAAAACCCAUAGUGAUGGAAGCUCAAGUCUGCAACCUGCAUAAGAGAAACAGCAAUGAUGCUGGCCGGCACCAUUCCUGGGUCCUCACCAACACCAGGAAGAUAGCAAUCAAACAUCACCUCCAUCCUGCAAAGGUACGGACACUUAGUCUCGCUUUUCUGGUGUGGAAACUAAAGUUCAGAGAGGUCAAGCAGCUCACUCAGGCUCACACAGCAUCUGAAAGGCCAAACUGGACCAUGAGCUCAAGGCUCUUUAGAACCAAGUCUUCUGUGGUCUCUGAUUUCUAAACAUCUGCAGCUUAAAUAUCACCUCCGCCAAGGAUCUGCUCCAACCCCACCCAGAGUCCCUGAAAUUUACUCUUCCUGAUUCAGAGUCUGCUUUCCACACUAGAGUUUAGCUCCAAGAGGGCUAAAUGCAUAGCUUGUCCUCAAAAUGAAUCGUGGAUGACUGAGUAAAUCCAUGCAUUUAUUCAAUAGGCAAGCAGGGGACGAGCAUCUUUGAUGUGCCGGGUCCAGUUCUAAGGAACAGAGGAGGUGGCAGUCAGUGUACAUAGAAAAGUUCCUGCCCUCAUGGACCCCGCCUCGCUCAGCGGGUUAAGGAUCUGGUGUUGCCGUGAGCUGUGGUGUAGGUCUCAGAUGCGCCUCGGAUCCCACCAUUGCUGUGGCUGUGGUGUAGGCCAACGGCUGUAACUCUGAUUCGACCCCUGGGAACCUCCAUAUGCUGCGAUGUGGCCCUAAAAAAGCAAAAAAAAAAAAGGGGGGGUCCCAUUUGGAUGACAAUUUCUUCCUUUCUUCCUCUCCUUCUUUCCCUUCCUUCCUUCUUUCCCUUAUCUCCCUUAUCUUUUUUUUUUUUAGCCGCACCUGCGGCUUGUGGAAGUUCCCUGGCCAGGAAUCAAACCCGCGCUACGGCUGCUACAGUGACAACACCAGAUCCUUAAUUCGAUGCACCACAAGAGAACUCCCCAGAUGACAACUCCUAUGGCCAUCCAUGUGAUGGUUAACACUACUAGGCUAUCUACGAUGAGGUAAUGGGGCUGAAAGUGUUGGUUGUCACCGAUAUGCAGACAGAAAUAUUUUCCAGGCCCCCUACAGUUAAGGAAGCCCUGCGACAGAGUUACAGUCAAUGGUUGGAGAUCAUAAGUGUUAAUGCCACUCCCAGGCCUGGCUCCAGACAUUCUGCAAACCCCUCUGUCACAGCGUGAAUCAUGGGUCAGCCUAUAUUCAGUCCCUUGCCCGCCUGUCUUUGUGGGGUGCACUGCCCCUCCUGCUGCAAUCAAGCACGGCCACGAGACCUGCUUUGGCCACUGCAACGUGGGCGUGAGUGAUGUGUGCCACUCUGGAUCCGGCCCCGGACCCACCAGCUGAGACCCUCUAUGUACUCUUUUUCUUCACUCUUCAGCAGAAUGAAUACAGAGGAGCCAGUGGGGAGUUCCAAGGGACCCCCAGGAAUGGCAGAGACACAAAACAGAAAAGGCAGCCAUCUCCAAGCCACUGCUUGGAGGUGAGCCACCCAGGGGAGCCUCUGAAUAUAUGCAAGAAUAAAUGCUCUUGACUUGGCCUGAGCAAGAAAUACAUUUCCAUUGUGUCAAGUCACUAAAGAGUUUGGAGUUGUUUGUUACAGCAGCUAAUGUUAAUUACCCUGACUAUUACAAGUAGUCAAUGAAGGCCCUGGGGACCCAGAAGUCCCAGUGGCUCAAAGGGGCUGAGUCACAUCCCUCACUGCCUGCCCACCUUGCUCAGGUCACAUAACCUGCCUAGAACUUUGUUUUCUCCAGUGUAAAUCGGGACAGACACUGCCCCUGCACCAAGGUGGGAGGUUAAUGUGGUGACAGAGAGGGGCAAGGGCUGUCCGCUCAGGGGCCUCCUGGCAGACCAGACACUCUCCACUUGGAACAGUCCAGAAUGCAGAGACAUUUGUGACCCCACUUGGUGAGACCAUGGCGAGAUGGCAGCUGGCCCACCGGAUGUGUUGGUGACCCUGAUGGGGUAGCUAGAUCACGGGGGUGCCUGGAGGAUGUCAGUCUGAAUUUGGAGCUCUCAGUCCCUCAAGAGGUUCUGAGAAAGGGAUUUAGACCUUCUGGAAUCCAGGGAGGUGGGAAGGGUGGACAUUUGUGGAUUGCCGGGUCCUGAACAAGCAUUUACACACCUGUUCUCUCCCAGCCCCACAAGUGACUCUUCAAGGAAGCCAGUGUUUCUGUCCUGGCCACCCUCCCUCAAACACCUGGAGCUAAGACUGGAUCCUGGGACCAGAGUCUCCAGAAUGGGGCACAGUGACUAAAGCCCAACAGGAACCCAACUUUAAGCCACCUGAAGUGUCCCAGACAAGGGGUUAUUUUUGGACCAUCUCUAAUCUUCCCAACCCCCCAUAAGGUGGCUCUUAUCCCCACUUUCCAUAUAGAGAAACAGAGGCCCAGAGAGGCCCAGGUUCAGAGUGGGUGGCAGCAGAUUCCACCCCAGCUCUACUUGGCUACAAAGCCUACAUUCUUUUUUUUUCUCUUUAGGGCCAUACCUGUCGCAUAUGGAAUUUCUCCGGCUAGGGGUCAAAUCGGAGCCGCAGCUGCUGGUCAAUGCCACGGCCACAGCAACACCAGAUCCAAGCCGCAUCUGCAGCCUACACUGUAGCUUGCCAAGGAUCCAACCUGCAUCCUCACAGACACUAUGUUGGGUUCU
ensembl:lncRNA